GCCCCUAUACAUGCAAGUCGAACGAACUCUGGUAUUGAUUGGUGCUUGCAUCAUGAUUUACAUUUGAGUGAGUGGCGAACUGGUGAGUAACACGUGGGAAACCUGCCCAGAAGCGGGGGAUAACACCUGGAAACAGAUGCUAAUACCGCAUAACAACUUGGACCGCAUGGUCCGAGCUUGAAAGAUGGCUUCGGCUAUCACUUUUGGAUGGUCCCGCGGCGUAUUAGCUAGAUGGUGGGGUAACGGCUCACCAUGGCAAUGAUACGUAGCCGACCUGAGAGGGUAAUCGGCCACAUUGGGACUGAGACACGGCCCAAACUCCUACGGGAGGCAGCAGUAGGGAAUCUUCCACAAUGGACGAAAGUCUGAUGGAGCAACGCCGCGUGAGUGAAGAAGGGUUUCGGCUCGUAAAACUCUGUUGUUAAAGAAGAACAUAUCUGAGAGUAACUGUUCAGGUAUUGACGGUAUUUAACCAGAAAGCCACGGCUAACUACGUGCCAGCAGCCGCGGUAAUACGUAGGUGGCAAGCGUUGUCCGGAUUUAUUGGGCGUAAAGCGAGCGCAGGCGGUUUUUUAAGUCUGAUGUGAAAGCCUUCGGCUCAACCGAAGAAGUGCAUCGGAAACUGGGAAACUUGAGUGCAGAAGAGGACAGUGGAACUCCAUGUGUAGCGGUGAAAUGCGUAGAUAUAUGGAAGAACACCAGUGGCGAAGGCGGCUGUCUGGUCUGUAACUGACGCUGAGGCUCGAAAGUAUGGGUAGCAAACAGGAUUAGAUACCCUGGUAGUCCAUACCGUAAACGAUGAAUGCUAAGUGUUGGAGGGUUUCCGCCCUUCAGUGCUGCAGCUAACGCAUUAAGCAUUCCGCCUGGGGAGUACGGCCGCAAGGCUGAAACUCAAAGGAAUUGACGGGGGCCCGCACAAGCGGUGGAGCAUGUGGUUUAAUUCGAAGCUACGCGAAGAACCUUACCAGGUCUUGACAUACUAUGCAAAUCUAAGAGAUUAGACGUUCCCUUCGGGGACAUGGAUACAGGUGGUGCAUGGUUGUCGUCAGCUCGUGUCGUGAGAUGUUGGGUUAAGUCCCGCAACGAGCGCAACCCUUAUUAUCAGUUGCCAGCAUUAAGUUGGGCACUCUGGUGAGACUGCCGGUGACAAACCGGAGGAAGGUGGGGAUGACGUCAAAUCAUCAUGCCCCUUAUGACCUGGGCUACACACGUGCUACAAUGGAUGGUACAACGAGUUGCGAACUCGCGAGAGUAAGCUAAUCUCUUAAAGCCAUUCUCAGUUCGGAUUGUAGGCUGCAACUCGCCUACAUGAAGUCGGAAUCGCUAGUAAUCGCGGAUCAGCAUGCCGCGGUGAAUACGUUCCCGGGCCUUGUACACACCGCCCGUCACACCAUGAGAGUUUGUAACACCCAAAGUCGGUGGGGUAACCUUUUAGGAACCAGCCGCCUAAGGU
rnacentral:rRNA from 1 species